rnacentral:Y_RNA from 1 species
GCCUGGUCCGAGUGCAGUGGUGUUUACAACUACUUGAUCACAACCCAUUGUAGGUUUCUUUGUUCCUUCUCCACUCCCACUGCUUCACUUGACUAGCCUUAA